UGAGGAAUAUUGGUCAAUGUACGCAAGUCUGAACCAGCCAAGUAGCGUGCAGGACGACGGCCCUCUGGGUUGUAAACUGCUUUUAGUUGGGAAUAAAGUGCAGCUCGUGAGCUGUUUUGUAUGUACCAUCAGAAAAAGGACCGGCUAAUUCCGUGCCAGCAGCCGCGGUAAUACGGAAGGUCCAGGCGUUAUCCGGAUUUAUUGGGUUUAAAGGGAGCGCAGGCGGACUCUUAAGUCAGUUGUGAAAUACGGCGGCUCAACCGUCGGACUGCAGUUGAUACUGGGAGUCUUGAGUGCACACAGGGAUGCUGGAAUUCAUGGUGUAGCGGUGAAAUGCUCAGAUAUCAUGAAGAACUCCGAUCGCGAAGGCAGGUAUCCGGGGUGCAACUGACGCUGAGGCUCGAAAGUGCGGGUAUCAAACAGG
rnacentral:rRNA from 1 species